GACGAAUUAAUUAAUAGAAUAGAAAUCCUAGUGAGAGUAGUAGUGGUUUGAUUGGAUACCAAAGAUGAUACGGAUUUGGAGACAGAGAAAUUAUACUUAACGCAUCGAUCUCGUAGCUCUGUGAAUGAAUGGCGUGGAGCAUUCAUAGCACUGGUUCGACUCCAGACCGAGAUAUGUCACACAUUGCAUAGAGAAAGAGUUGAAGCUUUUUUUGAAUAGAAGUUGGGUAGGAACGCGAAAGGGGUGGGGCCCUGUGGUUAGCCUGUGAGGGAUUGAUGAUCUACUCUGGAAAGGGACGCAAUUGUAUAACUAAACCAAGCUGAUUUUUUCCACGCUGUGCUCUUCUUUUGUUUUGAGGUUUAUCACCAUGCCUAUCGGUUAGCCGGAGAAGAGAGCCCUAUCGUCUAAGUAAGCGGCUUUGCCUUUAGCCUUUUUAAUUA
rnacentral:lncRNA from 1 species